AUCCAGUUGACGAGUCGGACACAAGACGAAACAGAGGUCCUAUAU
rfam:Schistosoma curassoni strain Dakar, Senegal genome assembly, scaffold: SCTD_scaffold0001359